rnacentral:lncRNA from 1 species
CCCCAUAUAGUUUCGCUCUUUAAGUUCUGAUCCUUUCUUGCAUAUACUUCCUAAGGAGGCCGAAGAAGCCAGUAGAGUUACAUUACUCUGGCCCUCCUCCUCCCUAACAUCAAGGAGUGGUGGAGACAUCACAAUUCAAAAUCACACUCCAAUACUUUUGCACUGCUCAUUUCAAGAAAACAAAAUCAUUACCUUACUCUCUUCAAAACAGAAUAUCAAGUUCAACGACUCAAUUGACGGCUCAGACAUAGAAGUAGUUUACAACAGUACAACACAAGGAGUGGUGGAGACAUCACAAUUCAAAAUCACACUCCAAUACUUUUGCACUGCUCAUUUCAAGAAAACAAAAUUAUUACCUUACUCUCUUCAAAACAGAAUAUCAAGUUCAACGACUCAA